rnacentral:rRNA from 1 species
ACUUUAUUUAACUAAGUUUUAUUUUUAAUUUAUAAGUAUAAAAAAAAUAAUACUUAAUUAUAUUUCGUUGGGGCGACGAAAGCAUACAUUUAACUGCUUUAUUAUCAAAACAAUUAUAUUUGAUUAUUAUGACCCUUUUUUAAGAUCUAAAGAAAAAGUU